GGAUGAAGAAAAAGUGAGAAAUAAAGGUGGAAUAGGAGAAGUAGUCAAGGGGUAAUAUUUAGGUGACGACAGGCAGAAUGAGGUGGACGUGGCGGAGGCUGUGGGCAGUCAAUUCACGGCGCAGAUUACCUACGCCUUGCACCACGCUGACUGCCAGCCGCUGUUCAGUAAAGUCGGGCAAGCCUGUAUCUCCGUAUUCUGCCCUGGAUAUAGGAGUUAAACGUUGACGAGUGCGUGGAGUCGUCCAGAUCCUCUCCCUGUGGACCAUCCUCUCAGCAGCGUUCGAUCCCCCCCGCAGCAGCAACGGUCAUGAGAAGGCGGUCAUUGAAGUGUCAACUCCCCAAGCUGGCACGGUGGUGGGUGUUGUGCUGGGCUCCCUUGGGGUUCUUUGCCUAGCUGUUGGGUGUACAGAUGUUUGUCGGGUUCUUGAAGAUGCGUUGACGUGUUAUCAUCCACGCAAGCUUCCCCAACCCAGCCAGUGUACCACAAGACAACAAGCAUUCAGGAGGACGGGAGGAGGGAGCGAGCGGCUGCACGCAUUAUUGAACGGGACGGCAUUACAUUCUCCCCACAGCUGUAUGACUACACUGAAGCAAGCCCAGAAUAAAGUGUUGAGUGACCAUGAUACGUUGAUGAGUGCGUGGAGUCACCCAGAUCCUCUCCCUGUGGACCAUCCCCUCAGCACUGUUCGAUCCGCCCAGCAGCAGCAACGGUCAGGAGAAGGCGGUCAUUGAAGUGUCAAGUCUCCAAGCUGGUAUGGUGGAUUCAGUACUACUAACGCCAAAGAAGUGAGGCAAGUUUUUGGAGUGAGCGUGCAU
rnacentral:lncRNA from 1 species